AAUGAAUGCUGGCGGCAUGGAUUAGGCAUGCAAGUUGAACGAGAAGCCAACUUCGGUUGGUGGAAAGUAGCGAAAGGGUGAGUAACGCGUGAAUGAUCUACCUCUAAGUUCGGAAUAACAGUUGGAAACGACUGCUAAUACCGGAUGUGGAUAUAAAGCUGCAUGGUUUUAUAUCUAAAGAUUUAUCGCUUAGAGAUGAGUUCGCGUGCCAUUAUGCUAGUUGGUAAGGUAACGGCUUACCAAGGCUAUGACGGCUAGGUGGUCUGAGAGGACGAUCACCCACACUGGGACUGAGACACUGCCCAGACUCCUGCGGGAGGCUGCAGUCGAGAAUCUUCCGCAAUGCGCGAAAGCGUGACGGAGCAAUGCCGCGUGAUCGAAGAAGGCCUUCGGGUUGUAAAGAUCUGUCAGGGGGGAAAAAUAUUGAUGGUACCCCCAGAGGAAGCCACGGCUAACUACG
rnacentral:rRNA from 1 species